rnacentral:rRNA from 1 species
UACGAAGGGGGCUAGCGUUGUUCGGAUUUACUGGGCGUAAAGCGCACGUAGGCGGAUUGUUAAGUCAGGGGUGAAAUCCUGGAGCUCAACUCCAGAACUGCCUUUGAUACUGGCAAUCUAGAGUCCGGAAGAGGUGAGUGGAACUCCUAGUGUAGAGGUGGAAUUCGUAGAUAUUAGGAAGAACACCAGUGGCGAAGGCGGCUCACUGGUCCGGUACUGACGCUGAGGCGCGAAAGCCAGGGGAGCAAACGGG